UACGUAGGGUCCGAGCGUUGUCCGGAAUUACUGGGCGUAAAGAGCUCGUAGGUGGUUUGUCGCGUUGUUCGUGAAAACUCACAGCUUAACUGUGGGCGUGCGGGCGAUACGGGCAGACUUGAGUACUGCAGGGGAGACUGGAAUUCCUGGUGUAGCGGUGAAAUGCGCAGAUAUCGGGAAGAACACCCGUGGCGAAGGCGGUUCUCUGGGACGUAACUGACGCUGAGACGCGAAAGCGUGGGGAGCAAACAGG
rnacentral:rRNA from 1 species